rnacentral:rRNA from 1 species
UACGGAGGGGGCUAGCGUUAUUCGGAAUGAUUGGGCGUAAAGGACGCGUAGGUGGUCUUGUAAGUCUUUAGUGAAAUCCCCGGGCUUAACUCGGGAAUUGCUUUGGAUACUGCUAGGCUAGAGUGUGGGAGAGGCAAGUGGAAUCUUUGGUGUAGAGGUGAAAUUCUUAGAUAUCAGAGAGAACGUCGGUGGCGAAAGCGACUUGCUAGAACACAACUGACACUGAGGCGUGAAAGCGUGGGGAGCAAACAGG